ACGAAGGGGGCUAGCGUUGUUCGGAAUCACUGGGCGUAAAGCGUAUGUAGGCGGAUCAAAAAGUUAGAUGUGAAAUCCCUGGGCUCAACCCAGGAACUGCAUUUAAAACUAGUGAUCUAGAAUUUGGUAGGGGCCAGUAGAAUUUCCAGUGUAGAGGUGAAAUUCGUAGAUAUUGGAAAGAAUACCAGUGGCGAAGGCGACUGGCUGGGCCAUUUUUGACGCUGAGAUACGAAAGCGUGGGUAGCAAACAGG
rnacentral:rRNA from 1 species